rnacentral:rRNA from 1 species
GAUGAACGCUGGCGGCGUGCCUAAUACAUGCAAGUCGAGCGAACGGACGAGAAGCUUGCUUCUCUGAUGUUAGCGGCGGACGGGUGAGAAGCACGUGGAUAACCUACCUAUAAGACUGGGAUAACUUCGGGAAACCGGAGCUAAUACCGGAUAAUAUUUUGAACCGCAUGGUUCAAAAGUGAAAGACGGUCUUGCUGUCACUUAUAGAUGGAUCCGCGCUGCAUUAGCUAGUUGGUAAGGUAACGGCUUACCAAGGCAACGAUGCAUAGCCGACCUGAGAGGGUGAUCGGCCACACUGGAACUGAGACACGGUCCAGACUCCUACGGGAGGCAGCAGUAGGGAAUCUUCCGCAAUGGGCGAAAGCCUGACGGAGCAACGCCGCGUGAGUGAUGAAGGUCUUCGGAUCGUAAAACUCUGUUAUUAGGGAAGAACAUAUGUGUAAGUAACUGUGCACAUCUUGACGGUACCUAAUCAGAAAGCCACGGCUAACUACGUG